CGCACAUCUCUCCCUCAUCCCUGCUCCCCCCGAUUCUCUUCCCCUCCCCGGCCGCACGCAUAUCUCUCCCUCCUCUUUCCUUCCUCCCGAUCCCCUCCACACCAGCCCCUGCCUCUGCCUUCCUCCACACCAGCCGCCGCCCCUCUCCUUUCCUCCAUACCAGCCGCCGCCCCUCCACACCAGCCCCAGACCACACCGGCCGCCGCCCCUCUCCUCUCCGUCUCGCAUGGCGUCCAGAGAAGCAACAGUGGCCCGUGGCACCCAGAUCUCUCGGCCCUCUCACUCGCUGAGUCUCUUCCUGCAGCCGUGGAGAGGAGCCGCCGCCCUCAAGUCCUCCUGCCGCCGGAUCCGCCCGUGGUGCCCGGAUCUCUCGGUGAGUCUCUCUCUCUCUGAUUUCUCUCUCCGUCUCACUCGCUGAGUCACUUUCUGUAGCCAUGGAGCGCCGCCGUGGAGAGGAGCCGCCGCCCCCAAGCCCUCCUUUCGCCGGAUCCGACCGUGGCGCCCAGAUCUCUCGCCAUGGAGCGCCGCAGUGGAGAGGAGCCGCCACCCCCAAGCCCUCCUGCCGCCGGAUCCGCCUCCGUCGAUCGGCGCUCGAGUUUGGAAGCAAGUUGAUUUUGCGAGCAGAUUUGGUGUUUGGUUUUGAUUUGGUGUUUGCGAGUGGAUAACACCGGUGCGGUGAGGUCGACGGGCUGCUAUGUGGAUUUGGGGCUGGCUGGGGGCCGGCCACUUUUUUUUAUUUUCUUCAAAUUCACAUCACUGUCGGGCGUUAUGGUGUGACCGUUAGUAAGGGGCGGCCUGCCCGCCACUGAUGUUGUUUUUGGCCCGUUACUAAUGAAGAUAGUGCCCGCAUAUAUGGAUGGCGUAUCGGUGAUACAGAUACACCUCACAGUGGAAAUUAAGAAGCAGAGGAGGAAGAGGGGCUGCAGCCUGCAGGCGACACCUGCACCUCCAUCUCGAUGCCUACAUUUCUGACCUUUUCUUUUUCAGCAAAUGUGAAAUGUGGGUUCACAUUCCUGACCUUCAUGAGAAGGUUUUCUAAAAAAA